rnacentral:lncRNA from 1 species
GUCUGAGAAUAAGUAUGACCAAUUGCACCUGUAUUCCUCAAAGCAAAGGCUACUAAAAUCUGAACUCAGCAUAUGUGACUUCCAUUUGUCUUUCAUAUUCUAAAUAUUUUCUGUGAUUUAAAGCAUUCAUUGCUUCCUUUUGCUGUCAAGGAAAUGAAGGAAACACAUUUCAGUAGCACUUUCCUGAAUGCACUUAUCUUUAGCUACUGCUAUAAAUAUGCGGUGAUCAGAUUCU